rnacentral:rRNA from 1 species
UGGGUGAUCUGCCCCAAACUUUGGGAUAACCCUCGGAAACGGGGGCUAAUACCGGAUACGACUUUCGGCUGCAUGGCUGGGGGUGGAAAGUUUUUCGGUUUGGGAUGGGCUCGCGGCCUAUCAGCUUGUUGGUGGGGUGAUGGCCUACCAAGGCGACGACGGGUAGCCGGCCUGAGAGGGCGACCGGCCACACUGGGACUGAGACACGGCCCAGACUCCUACGGGAGGCAG